UACGAAGGGGGCAAGCGUUGUUCGGAAUUACUGGGCGUAAAGGGCGCGUAGGCGGCUUGCCAAGUCAGGCGUGAAAUUCCCGGGCUCAACCUGGGGGCUGCGCUUGAUACUGGCUGGCUUGAAUGCGGGAGAGGAUGGUGGAAUUCCCAGUGUAGAGGUGAAAUUCGUAGAUAUUCGCAAGAACACCAGUGGCGAAGGCGGCUCACUGGCCCGGUACUGACGCUGAGGUGCGAAAGCGUGGGGAGCAAACAGG
rnacentral:rRNA from 1 species